rnacentral:rRNA from 1 species
UACGUAGGGGGCAAGCGUUAUCCGGAUUUACUGGGUGUAAAGGGAGCGCAGACGGUGAUGCAAGUCUGAUGUGAAAGGUGGGGGCUCAACUCCCAAACUGCAUUGGAAACUGUAUGACUGGAGUGCCGGAGAGGUAAGCGGAAUUCCUAGUGUAGCGGUGAAAUGCGUAGAUAUUAGGAGGAACACCAGUGGCGAAGGCGGCUUACUGGACGGUAACUGACGUUGAGGCUCGAAAGCGUGGGGAGCAAAC